CCUACGGGUGGCAGCAGUGAGGAAUAUUGGGCAAUGGGCGCAAGCCUGACCCAGCAACGCAGCGUGAAGGAAGAAGGCCCUCUGGGUUGAAACCUCUUUUAAGAGGGAAGUGCAGAAGACGGUACCUCUUGAAUAAGCCACGGCUAACUACGUGCCAGCAGCCGAGGUAAUACGAAGGGUGCAAGCGUUGUCCGGAUUUAGUGGGUGUAAAGGGCGUGCAGGCGGGAAGACAAGUCAGAUGUGAAAUCCCGCGGCUCAACCGGAGAACUGCAUUUGAAACUGUUUUUCUUGAGUACAGGAGAGGUAAGCGGAAUUCGUUGUGUAGCGGUGAAAUGCGUAGAUAUCAGGAAGAACACCGGUGGCGAAGGCGGAUGACUGGACGGUAACUGACGGUGAGGCGCGAAAGCGUGGGGAGCAAACAGGAUUAGAUACCCUGGUAGUC
rnacentral:rRNA from 1 species